GUUGUGGUUCUACUGGUGGUAGUGCUUCUGCUGGUGAAGAGACAUUGUCACAAUUCAAAAGCUGGUAAAGAAAAUGACAUCACAUACAGUGAAGUCCAAAUAACUCAGCUACAGCAGCAGAAAGUCAAACCCAGCAGAGAGUUCAGCACCUUCAACAUACUCAAAUGUGGGGACAGAGGAACUCAGCUAUGGACAAAUCAACAUCAGAAAACAAA